AAAACAUCUUCCCUAACAUAAGAAGGAGAGAUUAAAUGGUGGCCUCGACUAUAUGCAAACACAUCAAAGAUAGAAUACCGCGUACAUAAUUAGUUAGUUGGUAGGGUAAUGGCCUACCAAUGACCACAAUGGGUAACCGGUAUAGAGAGGAUGUACGGCCACACUUGGGACUGAGAUACGGCCCAUGACUCCUACGGGAUGGCAGC
rnacentral:rRNA from 1 species